GGCAGCAUGGUUUAGUGUAGUGGUUUGAAUGUUGGACUAGGAAUCUGGAGACCAGGGUUUGAAUCCCCACUCAGCCA